CUUUUUGGCCUCUCUGUGUGGCAAUCCUUCCUCCCAGCUAUAGAGCAGAGACCUUCUGGAAUGAAGAUCUUAUGAUCUACUUUCAGACAUGGCAGCUCAGAGAAUUUCUUUACAGCCAGCUCUUGCCCAGAAAGGUAGGAAAAGGGUAGAGUAAUACUUUCAGGAUUUAAGGCUGGCUUUGCAGGAGAGUUCUGAUUUCUAUGACUCGCCUUGGGAAGAGGAUUCCGCUUUCUUUGAAAGCUUCAGGGGAGGAAAAGAGGUGGAAGAUAGGAAGGCUGGAAAAGGUCAGAGGGCCUUGCUGCUGAGGCUGCGGCUGAGGCCUUCUGAGUAGCCAGUUUGCCAAAGCAUCAUACUAAAGACUAUUGUUUCCUGAGUCCCAACAGAUGCUGUUGUUAGAGACCAAAUACACCACCCCUAAAUAUGCUGGAAAAGUUACCCUUUCAAAGAGGAUUUACAUCUGUAAAGGAAAUCUCCAUUCCUGCACCAGGAAGAGAAGGAUGACUAAAUCCUUCGAGAUGUAUCUAUGGAGAAGGUGCCAACUUAACAUGAUCCAUUUUGUUCAUUUUCUGUGCUUUUUCUGGGCAUUCUUCUCCCCCAUAACAGGGUUUUCCCACGCCAUUCUUUCUGUGUUUCAGAAAAUGAUAUUUCAGCCCAAAGUUUCAACUCCCUCUUGGAUCUACCCUAGAGAUUUGCUCAGCUCACUGUGUAACUCCCAUGGAUAUACAAGGUAUCCACGCUAUUUAAUAUUCAACUUGUUUGUUUUUCUCCUGUUGAUCUGUCUUGUGUUCCAGGGCAUCCCAGCUAAGAACUCAUGAAGGGUAGAGAGAAAACUGUUUUUCCUCUCUUUCAUUUUGGGGGGCUGUUCCCAGAGAUCAAAGAUGAGCCCUGCAAACUGUCUACCCUACUCCAGAGGCUGACCUAAGACUGGAAGCCCCCCUCUUCCCUGGACACCUGUAGGAUGCAUUCCAUGGUUCAGCUGGCUAGUCUCUGAGGGUGACCACUGUUGUUGCCCAGGCUGGAGUGCAAUGGCGCGAUCUUGGCUCACCACAACCUCUGCCUCCUGGAUUCAAGCGAUUCUGCUGCCUCAGCCUCCCAAGUAGCUGGGAUUACAGGUGCCCACUACCACACCUGGCUAAUUUUUUUGUAUUUUUAAUAGAAACAGGGUUUCACCAUGUUGGUCAGGCUGGUCUCGAACUCCUGAACUCAUGUGAUCUGCCCCCCCCUCACCCGCCCCUUGGCCUCCCAAAGUGCUAGGAUUACAGGCGUGGGCCAUGACCUGCUUUUUAUUAUCAAUCUAUAAUUAUAUGUAUUGUUCCUAUAUCAUUAAAUAUUCUCCUUUGAC
rnacentral:lncRNA from 1 species